CAACGCCUUCAUCUCUUUACACUUGACCUGAGGGGAGAGAGGGAGAAUCUUUGAAAAAACUUCAAAGAUCAAACCAAAAUUGAAUUUAGAAGUUCCUUUUUCUGAUUUUUUUUUUUAAAUCCAGUUUACUAUGACAUUAUAAAUUCGGAUUGAACCUUACUAAUUGCUUUUAAAAUGUAUGUCUUAUUUCCCUUUUGUUCGAAAAUCUAGAAGGUUUAGGCUCUAUCUGGUACAUAAAGUACUUUUUAGUUUUUAUUUACUGACUUUACAUGUAUAUUAUAAGUAAAAAUAUUUUAGUUAAUAGUGAAAAAUAUGAGUAAAAAUGAGGACAAAGUUUAAAAAUUAAGAUGUUGCUUUUAGUAUCUAGGAAAUAAUCUUUAUUUGCAUUUGGAUUACUCCACGGACACGCAUCUCAUACUUUUCAUGAAUAAUACAUGCAUAAACACAGAUAAAGCUUGUAGCAAGUGGAGCCUUAGCUUUCAGUUUUCAUGAUUUUUUAACUAAUAUCAAAUAAGUUUAAUCUUUCCCUGAAAAAAAAAUAUCAACUAAGUUGAUGCAACGACUAUAAAUCUUGUUGCUUUCUAUUUGAAACUUUGAUUUAGUUAUUUAUAAAUCAUAGAAAAAUUUUAAAAGAAGGAUUAAGAGAUAGAUUUAUUACAUGCUAUAGAUAUGAAAUCUGUUCGUAGAGAUAAAUCAGCAUGAAGGUCCUUGAGAUGAUGGAUUAAGAGAUUUAGGAAAUCUGUUGUAUAAAGUCACCUGACAGUAGAACAACUCCAGGAAAGGAAUACAGUAGAAUAAGUCGUGAAAAGCAGAUACUUAGUGUGAAAAGUUUCCUGAGUUUUUGUUUCAAAAAAGAAAAUUUGAUUUUCCUUCCAGUGUUGAAAAAAUUCAACAUAACUUUGUAUACGAGCUAAUUUAGGAUGGCCGGAGAUGUUAGUUCCUCUUUGCUUCCUUAGACAAUAGGAUUUUGGUUGAGGAGGAAACAGAACACAGUUUAUGUAGUAACUUUCUUUAGAUAUCAGCUUAGAGUGAAGAACGGAGGAGAUCUCAACAACCAAGACUGGCAUUUGCUGCUUUUGGCUGCACUUUUUACAUGGCAUUUGAGAGGAACCCUGCAACCUUUAUUGUCCUGUAACUAUUAUCAGUGAGUCACCGGGUGAAUCUUAGUUAUCAGGGAACUAUCAGCAGUAGGAAACCAGGUCAGAUGGUUCUUCAGGAUAUCUAAUAAUUUUAAAGAACAUUCGUUAAGAAUUUAUCUGGAGGACGGCAAACGCUUAAGUCAAGAAAUCAACUAUUCAUCUGCUUUUCCACUUUCAGAGAGAAAUUCCAUUUGCUUAAAAGUAUGUGAUACUCCUGCCACAUGUAGACAAAUAAUUAUCCAAGAACAGCAAGUUAUGGUUUUGCUAGAAUUUCUUCUCAGUUUAAAGGCCAGAAAAUAAGAACUGUUGUGAUGUCCAUUUUCCAGUUGCUGGAAAUAAUUCCCAGUGAACUAUAUAAUUCUAAAAUCCUAUUUCAUAGUAUUUCUUCUGAGAGAAUUUUUGUUAUGAAGUAUGGUUUGUGAGGGAUGGUGCACGAGAAUGAUUAAUUGUAUAAACUCACUGCAAUAUUUUUCACAUCUGUAGAGCUUCCUUGAAUUCUCGAUUAUAUCACUCUUUAGUAAAUGAGCUUUUUUAUGGAAUUUAUUUAGAAAUCUAUGUUUAGUUCAAUUGGAAUGUAAUAAAAAUUCUAUUAAAAAAUGAUAAAAAUUAAAUUUAUAAGAAAUUGCAAUUAAAAUUGAAAGAAUGCAUUUGAGAUCUUAUCAAAUCUUAAUUCAAC
rnacentral:lncRNA from 1 species